AUGAUAAGUUAUUAAUUUAAAUAACUGCUUUCUUCUGGCCAUUCUCUUAGAAUAUGCACGAUUCUAUUAUUAUAGCCAAUAUUGAUAAAAGUAGUUUUAGCUUUGCUGUGGAGUGGAUUUUCUGAUCUGGUCUGCCUGGUGGGAUUAACGUCGAUUUUGCAAGUCUCUUUGCACUAUCCCUCCACUCACUCUUGUACACCAGUGAGUUAGGGAGACAUUCACCUGAGUUGCUUUCAGAUGUUAUCUCAUUGUUCUGGACUUAAAAAAAAAUAUUUCAGCCCCUCUUGUCUGGAUAAUGAUUCCUACAGAUCUCCAUUUGAAUACUCUACCUCUCAAGUAAAUGUCUUAAAUUACAGGAAGAGAGAUUCUAGCUGAAUACUAGGAAAACAUCUUAACAGUAAGAAUAACUUGAGAAGGGACUUAGUCAUCACAUCUUGUUGAUGGAUCCAAAUAGAGGCUGGAUAACCAUCUAUCAAUGAUUUUUGAUUUGACUGUUUUGGCCAGAGCUUGAAUCAUCUCAGCAAAGAUAUGUCACUCCACUCUAUAAAUUUUCUUCUUCUCUGUCAUUGGGAACUACUGCUGGAUGUUUCUCUUGGUGAUAAUUCAGAUGCAAGAUAUACUUUAUGGGAUAUGUCAAAAGCUCACAAAAAGAAUGAUGCCUUUCUUUGUCCUUAUGUGAUCACUAAACUGAUUCUCAGUUCUGCAUUAAAAAAAUAGAACUGUAAAUUCAAGUGUGUGUGUGUGUGUGUGUGUGAGAGAGAGAGAGAGAGAGAGAGAGAGAGAGAGAGAGAGAGAGAGAUCAAUUUUCUGCCAUUAGACAUAAAUUCCUUCAUGGCAUUCUACCCUAAAAUGAUUACAGCUCCAAUGGUACAAAGGCUAGCCAAUAGUAGGCAAUUACACCUUACCUUUCUUUUCAUUACAAGAAUAGUAGGAGAGUAAAUUUUAUCUGCAAUGCCCAGUUGGGAGUAAGUUUGCUAGAAGCAGUAAACUAAUGCAAACAACUUCUCAGAAGAGCUGGCCUUUGUUUUCUUUGCUCUUUGCUUUAGAUCAUGCAUGUUCCUGGGCAGCUCAUUGCUUUUACAAACGGAGAGGUCAUUGUUAUCAACAAGUAAAUUUACCAGAAUGCCAGGUAGAAAAGCUCAGAUCAAUUUUGUUAAUUAACCCCCCCCCCCAGGGAUUAGAUCUUUGUUGAUAUUCAUAAAGCUGUUUCAAUUUAUAAAAGCAAACAUUGUAAAAUACACAUUAGUUGUUUGUUUUUUGCAAUUCAGUUUAGAAUAUAUUUGUAAAAGCAACAAAAAGCAGUUAUUUUACUGAGGAAAUACAGCAGUAUUUGGAGUGUUUUAGCUUUGGAUAAAGCCAUUAUGGAAGUAUUUUAAGUUAAUUGUGGGAUAUUAUCAGCUCUGAGCUGAAGAAGCUUCUUGGAUAAGAAAUGAAAUGUCUUCAAAGAAAAACAGAAAGUCCACUUGCCUCUUGAAACAGCAACUUUGGGACAACCAUGACCUGGAUGACUGAGGAUCUCCAUAGACAUUUAGGUUUGAACCUUCUGAAGUUAGAAGACCUCGAGGAGGAGCCAAAUAUUUCAUGGGAGAGAAGAAGAGGAGAUCAUCGACUGACUAAAUAAGUAAAUAUUUUUAUGUUAUAAUGUACUGUAU